rnacentral:rRNA from 1 species
GUCUAGAGGCAUACCACCCUGAACGCACCCGAUCUCGUCUGAUCUCAGAAGCUAAGCAGGGUCGGGCCUGGUUAGUACUUGGAUGGGAAAAACAUAAACAUAUAGCCA